rnacentral:rRNA from 1 species
CCUACGGGCGGCAGCAGUGGGGAAUAUUGGACAAUGGGGGGAACCCUGAUCCAGCUAUGCCGCGUGUGUGAAGAAGGCCCUCGGGUUGUAAAGCACUUUCAGUGAGGAAGAACGCCUGGUGGUUAAUACCCAUCAGGAAAGACAUCACUCACAGAAGAAGCACCGGCUAACUCCGUGCCAGCAGCCGCGGUAAUACGGAGGGUGCGAGCGUUAAUCGGAAUUACUGGGCGUAAAGCGCGCGUAGGUGGCUUGAUAAGCCGGUUGUGAAAGCCCCGGGCUCAACCUGGGAACGGCAUCCGGAACUGUCAAGCUAGAGUGCAGGAGAGGAAGGUAGAAUUCCCGGUGUAGCGGUGAAAUGCGUAGAGAUCGGGAGGAAUACCAGUGGCGAAGGCGGCCUUCUGGACUGACACUGACACUGAGGUGCGAAAGCGUGGGUAGCAAACAGGAUUAGAUACCCGUGUAGUC